rnacentral:tRNA from 2 species
GGGCCAUUAGCUCAGUUGGCUAGAGUGCUUGCAUGGCAUGCAAGAGGUCAAGGGUUCGAGUCCCUUAUGGUCCA